GAAGCAGGCCAGACAAUCGCUGGUUGCUGUGUUUUGCACAGCGACGGGAGGAAGGUCCGGACUCCACAGAGCAGGGUGACGGCUAACGGCCGUACGCUGAAAGCCGCAAGGUAUAAGGCGAGGAAUAGGGCCACAGAGACGAGUCUUUGGGGAGUAGCGGGCGCAAGCCUGUGCUAAACCACAAAGGGUGAAACGCGGUAACCUCCACCCGGAGCAAUUUCAAAUAGGCACGCGUUGAGGUGGCUCGCGGAGCGUGCGGGUAGAAAGCUUGAGCGACGGAGCAAUUCGUCGCCUAGAGGAAUGAUUGUCAUAGCGGGUUGCAGCAAUGCAGCGUGCCGUAACAGAAUCCGGCCUACCGGCCUGCUUUAUUU
rnacentral:RNase_P_RNA from 1 species